ACGGUGACUCCUGCUCAAUGAGAUUUAAAUAGCCGCAGUACCCUGACUGUGCAAAGGUAGCAUAAUCAAUUGACUUAUAAAUGAAGUCUAGAAUGAAGGGAUAAAUGGGGGAUUACUGUCUCAUAAAUAUUAAUUGAAUUUACUAAGGAAGUGCAAAUACUUCUAUAUUAAUAAUAGACGAGAAGACCCUAGAAAUUUUAAGAAUUUUUUCCUGUACUUUUUGUUGGGGCAACAGUGUUUCAUGUAAUAAACAUUUGAAUACAUGAAAUAUAUAAUUAAAAAGUUUAAAUUACUCUAGGGAUAACAGCAUAAUCUAUUAAUGUUUGUGACCUCGAUGUUGGACUAGGAAACUAAAGCUUAAA
rnacentral:rRNA from 1 species